rnacentral:rRNA from 1 species
UACGAAGGGGGCUAGCGUUGUUCGGAAUCACUGGGCGUAAAGCGCACGCAGGCGGAUUGAUAAGUCAGGGGUGAAAUCCCGGAGCUCAACUUCGGAAUUGCCUUUGAUACUGUCUGUCUUGAGUCCGGGAGAGGUGAGUGGAAUUCCUAGUGUAGAGGUGAAAUUCGUAGAUAUUAGGAAGAACACCAGUGGCGAAGGCGGCUUACUGGUCCGGUUCUGACGCUGAGGCGCGAAAGCGUGGGGAGCAAACAGGG